UCCAGGUUUGUUCUGGAAAACACUAGGUCUGAGAGACAGCAACAACAAAAGUAUACUCUACCAUUAAAGAAAUAAUGCCGUAUAUGUAGUAGCACUUUUCAAAGAAGGAAGAAAGGUGGGAGUCAUUUCCAGGGUAAUUUUGACAAGAGGAACUGUCAUUAUGAACAUGGUGGGUAUGAACUUCUGCCUUCACGCUGCCAGGAGAAUGAUGGAAGCAUGGAGAUGAGGGAUGUCCACAAGGACCGCCAACUAAGACACACUCCUUAUAGAAUCCAAUGCAACAGGAAGCUAGUGAAAUGACAUAGUGAAGAUCAAAUCCAUAUUACCAUUUGGAGAAAUAGAAAACCUCCAGAGAGAAAAAUGAGGCGGAACACACAAGAUGAAAACAUGAGGAAAUGGUUCAAGGUCACAAUAUGUAUAUUUGUCAGUCAUUUUACUGCGCCCUACUCUGUGAAGAAUAAGUUGAAGCCAGGCCAAAUGGAGAUGCUAAAGCUGACCAUGAACAAACGGUACAAUGUCUCCCAGCAAGCUCUUGAUCUCCAGAAUCUCCGCUUUGACCCAGACUUGAUGGGCCGUGACAUUGAUAUAAUCCUGAAUCGAAGAAACUGCAUGGCUGCCACCCUGAAGAUCACUGAAAGAAAUUUCCCUGAGCUGUUGUCUUUGAACUUGUGCAACAACAAACUGUACCAGCUGGAUGGCCUUUCUGACAUUACAGAGAAGGCUCCCAAAGUCAAGACCCUGAAUCUCUCCAAAAAUAAGCUGGAGUCGGCGUGGGAGUUGGGCAAGGUGAAAGGGCUGAAGCUCGAAGAGCUAUGGCUAGAAGGGAACCCGUUGUGCAGCACCUUCUCGGACCAGUCUGCCUAUGUAAGUGCCAUCCGGGAUUGUUUCCCCAAGUUGUUACGCCUGGACGGCCGAGAGUUAUCCGCACCAGUGAUUGUUGACAUUGACAGCUCUGAGACAAUGAAACCCUGCAAGGAAAACUUUACUGGAUCUGAGACCCUAAAGCAUUUAGUCCUGCAAUUCCUGCAGCAGAGCAACUUGUGCAAGUACUUCAAGGAUAGCAGGAAUAUAAAAAUUCUCAAAGACCCCUACCUGCAGAGGAAGCUGCUAAAGCACACAAAAUGUCCACGAAACGUGGACUCCCUCAGUGCAUUGCCUGAAACUCAGCAUGACUUCACCUCCAUCCUGGUGGACAUGUGGUACCAGACCGUGAACACCUGCUUCCUCCCUCGGGCAGGCCCAGAGAGCCAGAGGUGGGUAGGAGGUUAAGGAGGAUCCUGAGCACCUGAGCGCUUCCUUUUCAGGAAAGGAUGCUCUGCUUUUCUGUCAACGGAGUGUUCAAGGAAGGUGGUGGUGUUUGUUGUCUCUGAAGUGGAAGGAUGGUCUCAGGGUUCUGAUCUUGCCUUCAUGUGGACCUUCAUCACUACCUCUGGCCGCAAUUCCAGUCUGUGCAUCAUGAAUGAUAAGCUGUUUCUGAGGGAUGCCAGCCCCCAAGAGACUCAGAGUGCCUUCUCCAUCCCAGUGUCCACACUCUCCUCCAGCUCUGAGCCCUCCCUCUCCUAGGAGCACAGGAAAUGGUGCAGGCUUUCUCUGCCCAGUCUGGGAUGAAACUAGAGUGGUCUCAGAAGUGCCUUCAGGACAAUAAGUGGAACUACAUUAGAGCUGGUCAGGUCUUCACUAUGCUCCAGACUGAGGGCAAGAUCCCAGUGGAGGCCUUCAAGCAAAUCCCCUAAAAGGAGCCCUUUGAUGUCAUCUUUGUCUUCCUUCUCAUCCUCUUUGUUUCCUCUUUUCACCAGCCUAAGACCACUCUAAGGACUGGGGUUGGAGGCCUGGCUGACCAAGAAGCCAAAGUUAACUUGCAGGCCACAGGACAUAGCCACCUGAAGAGCCAGUUGUUCUGUGUAUUUGCCCCACUCAUGAUCACCGUUUAUUUUCAUAAUAAACAGUGACGUUACAUGUUGUAUGUU
rnacentral:lncRNA from 1 species